rnacentral:ncRNA from 1 species
GAAUUGUAUGAAGAAAAGGUUAGUACUCCACUUGACAAGGAUGGAAGAGGCCCUUGGGCCUAACACCCAUACGGUUAAGAUAUUGCCACCUACUUUGGGGCAUCUGACCAAUGUACUAU